rnacentral:rRNA from 1 species
GGUUAAGCGACUAAGCGUACACGGUGGAUGCCCUGGCAGUCAGAGGCGAUGAAGGACGUGCUAAUCUGCGAUAAGCGCCGGUAAGGUGAUAUGAACCGUUAUAACCGGCGAUUUCCGAAUGGGGAAACCCAGUGUGACUCGUCACACUAUCAUUAACUGAAUCCAUAGGUUAAUGAGGCGAACCGGGGGAACUGAAACAUCUAAGUACCCCGAGGAAAAGAAAUCAACCGAGAUUCCCCCAGUAGCGGCGAGCGAACGGGGAGGAGCCCAGAGCCUGAAUCAGCAUGUGUGUUAGUGGAAGCGUCUGGAAAGGCGCGCGAUACAGGGUGACAGCCCCGUACACAAAAGCGCAUGUGCUGUGAGCUCGAUGAGUAGGGCGGGACACGUGGUAUCCUGUCUGAAUAUGGGGGGACCAUCCUCCAAGGCUAAAUACUCCUGACUGACCGAUAGUGAACCAGUACCGUGAGGGAAAGGCGAAAAGAACCCCGGCGAGGGGAGUGAAAAAGAACCUGAAACCGUGUACGUACAAGCAGUGGGAGCACCCUUUGGGGUGUGACUGCGUACCUUUUGUAUAAUGGGUCAGCGACUUAUAUUCUGUAGCAAGGUUAACCGAAUAGGGGAGCCGGAGGGAAACCGAGUCUUAAUUGGGCGUUAAGUUGCAGGGUAUAGACCCGAAACCCGGUGAUCUAGCCAUGGGCAGGUUGAAGGUUGGGUAACACUA